UACGUAGGGUGCAAGCGUUGCCCGGAUUUAUUGGGCGUAAAGGGCGCGUAGGCGGCUCUGCACGUCCGUUGUGAAAUCGCCCGGCUCAACUGGGCGGGGUCAGCGGAUACGGCAGAGCUUGAGCAAGCUAGGGGGCAAUGGAAUUCCCGGUGUAGAGGUGAAAUUCGUAGAUAUCGGGAGGAACACCUGUGGCGAAGGCGGCCACCUGGACAACAACUGACGCUGAGACGGCGAAAAGCGUGG
rnacentral:rRNA from 1 species